CUCCCGGCCCCCGCCGCCGCAGCCCCCCCGAGAGGCUCUGCCGGCUCCCGCGGAGGAGACGGCGGGAGCCCGCGGGGUCUCUGCUGCUGCCCCCGGAUCCCCCCCGAGAGCGCGGCAGGCAGGCAGACAGACAGACAGACAGACAGACUGUUGGGUUUCCCCACUCCCCCCUUCGGGUCCCCGUGCCCCCCUCCCCGUGAAAGACUCUGCUGGAUCCUCCUCCUCGGAUCCCCUCCCCGCGCUCGCUCCUUCCUGCGGGAGAGACUGCUGGAUCCUCCUCCUGCGAGAGAGGCUGCUGGAUCGCUUCGCCCGGGUCCCUGCGAGAGAGGCUGCUGGAUCCUCCUCCUGUGAGGGACUGCUGCGGGUCCUCCCCCUCCGCGGAUCUCCCCAUGCUCCUCCAUGUGGACUGAGAAUCCAUCAAGGCACGCACACGAGAACUCAUCCCGGUCAACUCCAGAUCCUGGCUUUCGUGGGCUUUGCUGCAACACAUAAAGCAAACUUGUAUUUAAGACACACAGUCGUGCAAAAAUUUAGCUGGGGACUUAAGCAAGACUGAAUCGAAAGCUGCCAAAGAGCCCCAUAAAGAAAAGACUAAAAGAAAUGCCAGGAAAUCGUGUUCAUCGUGUAAGGGAACUACUGCCUGCUGUUAACUCAAAAUGAGCUACAGUUUUACAGUCAAUUCAGAUACUGUACGUAAUGUAGACACCUUUUCUCUUUAAUGGGAAGUCUGUUAUGAAAAUGCUAAUAGAAGUGUUUUACUUUCAGUUUUAGUGCAAAGACUUAACCAAGACUGGUGUAUGUGGGAAUGGGUGAUAUGUUAACUUGCAUUUAUUUCCUCCAAGCAGCUGGCCCUGCUGAGGUAAACAUGCGCUUUUCCAAAUGCUGUCAUCUGGCCCCUUUCCAAAACAAGCUGCAGGAGGAGGUCGGGGGUGGAGCCAUCCUUUGCUUUAGUAAAAAGAGGCUUUCAUUUGGAAAGAAUUGCUAGAUAGUAUCGACUAUGAGAAGUGCAUAUUUAAAAAUAAAACAGCCAAACCCUUCCUAAAUAAAUGAAAU
rnacentral:lncRNA from 1 species